GUUAAGUUAAUAAGGGCGCACGGUGGAUGCCUCGGCACUAAGAGCCGAUGAAGGACGGGACUAACUCCGAUAUGCUUUGGGGAGCUGUAAGUAAGCUUUGAUCCAAAGAUUUCCGAAUGGGGAAACCCAA
rnacentral:rRNA from 1 species